rnacentral:lncRNA from 1 species
AUGAAAGCAAAGUAGCAUAUCUCUUUUUGUGGCUAGAAGCCGCAGUAGCAGUUGUUCCUCGAUUUUGGUAGAGAUGGAGUCUCAAAUACCAAAGAGUCUUCUCUAAUGUCCACCACAUUCUUUCAAGCUGACUGACUGCAGAGCUCCCGAUUGAUUUUGAGAGGUAAGUUCACUUGCUGGAUUGAUUUUAUUGGGUUAGGUUUAUUUUUUGUGAGGGUGGGAAAUUCGUCAUUUGUGGCAUCAAUAAUGCGUCAUUUUUGGAAUCAAUAAUGUGUCAUUUCCUUAUGAAUAUUUAAUAUACUUAGUUCAUUGUUGUUGGUCGGGGUGGAAAAUUAUGAAAUGUAGGUAAAAGAACCUAAACUUAGGCUUAAUGACAUUAGGAGUAAGCAGUUGGAGAGGAUAUUGGGUGAAGUUCUGUAAUUGGUGGUUUGAAUUACAUUUGUGUUCUUAGUUGAACAUGUUGGUUCUAAUGUUAUUUUUACCAGAUUAUUUCACAAGAGAUGACGCAACUUUUAUGAAAUUUUGCUUGCGUUUUGUGUAAUCGGAAGUUAGGCUAUGCGUAUUUUGUGUCAAUUUGGGCAAUGUUUUGUGUAAGUGGAAUGCAUUGAUAUGUUGUGAUGCAGUAAUGACUGAUUAAUGAAUGAAUAAUUGCUAUGCAGUAAUAUAGAAGUGGAUUAAUAACAUACGUAGAUAAAAUGUCUAGGGGCUCAGAGAGUGAUGAAUGUGCAACAGCUAAUGGGAG